ACUGCGGAUGAUACCAUACAGCUAGAGGGUGGAUAGGUGACGGUAUUUCUGGGGUAGGGGCGAAAUCCUUUGAUCCCAGGAGGACCACCAGUGGCGAAGGCUGCUCACUAGAACACGCCUGACGGUCAGGGACGAAAGCUGGGGCAGCGAACCGGAUUAGAUACCCGGGUAGUCCCAGCUGUAAACGAUGCUAGCUAGGUGUUGGGUCGGCCACGCGCCGCCCCAGUGCCGCAGGGAAGCCGUUAAGCUAGCCGCCUGGGGAGUACGGCCGCAAGGCUGAAACUUAAAGGAAUUGGCGGGGGAGCACCACCAGGCGUGAAGCCUGCGGUUUAAUUGGAGUCAACGCCGGAAAUCUUACCGGGAUCGACAGCAGAAUGAAGGCCAGGUUGAAGGUCUUGCUAGACGAGCUGAGAGGAGGUGCAUGGCCAUCGCCAGUUCGUGCCGUGAGGUGUCCUCUUAAGUGAGGUAACGAACGAGACCCCCACCCCAUGUUGCCAUCAGGAUUAAAGGAUCGCUGGGCACUCUUGGGGGACCGCUGCCGACAAGGCUGAGGAAGGUGGGGGCCACGGUAGGUCAGUAUGCCCCGAAUAUCCCGGGCCACACGCGGGCUGCAAUGGUAGGGACAGAGGGCUGCAACACCGAGAGGUGGAGCCAAUCCUAAACCUACCUCAGUUGGGAUCGAGGGCUGCAACCCGCCCUCGUGAACAUGGAAUGCCUAGGUAACCGCACGUCAUCAUCGUGCAGUGA
rnacentral:rRNA from 1 species